GGCAAAGGCAGCCUGUGUCACACUCUGCCCCAAGUGAUGACACUGUUUUAGUUUGCCAGAUCGAUGAGGUGCGUCUAUCCAUGUGGUCUUGCCCUAGCCUAUAGAUUACAUUGAAUUAGCAUCAGACAUUAC